UCUUCAUUGGUUUAGUGGUUAGAAUUUCCGCUUGUCAUGCUGACGGCCUCACUAGUGGGUUCGAUUCCCAGAUGGAGAG
rnacentral:tRNA from 1 species